AUUCUGGAGAAAAGCAGGGGAUCGCAAGACCUUGCGCUUUUGGAACGGCCGAUUUCUGAUUAGCUAGUUGAUGAGGUAAUGGCUUCCCAAGGCAUCGAUCACUAGCUGGUCUGAGAGGACGACCAGCCACACUGGGACUGAGACACGGCCCAGACUCCUACGGGAGGCAGCAGUGGGGAAUUUUGGACAAUGGGGGAAACCCUGAUCCAGCCAUGCCGCGUGAGUGAAGAAGGCCUUCGGGUUGUAAAGCUCUUCCAGCCGGAACGCAACGGUCACGCCUAAUAUCCCUGACAACUGAAGGUAGCGGAAGAAGAAGCACCGGCUAACUACGUGCCAGCAGCCGCGGUAAUACGUAGGGUGCGAGCGUUAUUCAGAAUAACUGGCCGUAAAGCGUGCGCAGGCGGUUUCGUAAGUCAGAUGUGAACUCCCGGGGCUUAACCUGGGAACUGCGUUUGAAACUACAAGGCUAG
rnacentral:rRNA from 1 species